rnacentral:rRNA from 1 species
GACGAACGCUGGCGGCGUGCCUAAUACAUGCAAGUAGAACGCUGAAGGAGGAGCUUGCUUCUCUGGAUGAGUUGCGAACGGGUGAGUAACGCGUAGGUAACCUGCCUGGUAGCGGGGGAUAACUAUUGGAAACGAUAGCUAAUACCGCAUAAGAGUAGAUGUUGCAUGACAUUUGCUUAAAAGGUGCAAUUGCAUCACUACCAGAUGGACCUGCGUUGUAUUAGCUAGCUGGUGGGGUAACGGCUCACCAAGGCGACGAUACAUAGCCGACCUGAGAGGGGGAUCGGCCACACUGGGACUGAGACACGGCCCAGACUCCUACGGGAGGCAGCAGUAGGGAAUCUUCGGCAAUGGACGGAAGUCUGACCGAGCAACGCCGCGUGAGUGAAGAAGGUUUUCGGAUCGUAAAGCUCUGUUGUAAGAGAAGAACGAGUGUGAGAGUGGAAAGUUCACACUGUGACGGUAUCUUACCAGAAAGGGACGGCUAACUACGUG